UCCCGUGGAUUUUUGCACUCCUGGAGACACUAUUCCAACCUCACACUCUAUGACAAUACACUUGGUUUUGAUGACAAAAAUUUUGAGGAAAGAAAAACCGAUCUUAUUCUCAAAAUUGACAAAAUCCUUAGAAACCAUUAUGCCAAUGGGGUGAUGGUGAAGACACUUAAACUUGAGCUUAUCAAUUGCAGCAAUAUCAAGGCCUCAUACCUGAACAGGUGGCUCCGAAUCACCAUGAAGCCUGGGAUCCAAGAACUUUGCUUGGUGACGCCUUCAGUCAUGAAAAAAAGUUACAACUUUCCCUGUUCGGUAUUAUCUGAUGAGGCAGCUGCAACUUCAAUUCAGUCUCUUAGCCUCUUGGCUUGCGCAUUUCAUCCCACAUCAACACUUGGUUGCUUGACAAGAUUGAAAAGUUUGCGUCUGUCUUUAGUCCAUAUUACCGAGGAAGAAUUAGGGCAUUUGCUCUCGAAAUCAUCCGCCCUCGAGCAGUUUGAGCUCUUUUAUUGCAGUGGGAUAACUUGCUUGAAAAUACCCUAUACGCUGCAACAGCUCAAGUUCCUCAGUGUUAAAUAUUGUAAGAUGGUGCAGGUGGUACAGAUAGAUGCUCCACAGCUCUGCUCUUUUCACUAUAACGGGACCCCAGUUAUCUAUGUCAGAAAUUCUUCGCAACUUAAGAAUGUUAACAUUUCGGCUGUAGGCCUAUCUGGUAUUCUCUCUCAUGCUCGCUUUAGCCUUCCGUCCAUCGCACAAAAUGUUGAGAGCCUCACCCUGUGCAGAUAUAGUGAGGAUGCCAACACUCCCAUGCUGUCAUCCAAGCUCCACCUCAAGAACUUGGAAAUUAUACUCAGGCACUACUUCUCCCCAAACUAUGAUGUCUUCUCUCUGGUUUCUUUUCUUGACGCUUCUCCUGCCUUGGAAUCUUUCAUCCUACGUGUAAGUCACAAUAUGUAUCUUCAGCUAGAGCAGGUUCCUGGUGUUGGAGAUGAUGAUGAAUACCGACGUCAAAAUCCAGAGUGCCGGCAUAACAACCUUAGGAAGGUGACGAUCACAAGAUUCUGUUCAGCCAAGAGCCUGGUUGAGCUCACAGUUCACAUCCUCGACAGAACGCAUUCACUCGAGCGCCUGACGCUGGACACAACAAAUGGCUACGAUAGAUGUACUUGUAACAGUGGCAAAUUCCCGACAACAAGAACAAUUGGCCGAUUCUGGCCAAUGAGCAAGAGAGCUCUCGAGGAAGCUCAUAGAGCCAUGGAGACUGCAGGUAGAUACAUCAAGGAAAGAGUUCCCUCAUCUGUUCAAUUCGAGGUUCUAGGGCCCUGCAGUCGAUGCCAUAUCGGGAAGUUGGUACCGGUAGAUCAGUGA
rnacentral:rRNA from 1 species